rnacentral:rRNA from 1 species
CCUACGGGAGGCAGCAGUGAGGAAUAUUGGACAAUGGGCGCAAGCCUGAUCCAGCCAUGCCGCGUGCAGGAAGACGGUCCUAUGGAUUGUAAACUGCUUUUAUACAGGAAGAAACACCUCUACGUGUAGAGACUUGACGGUACUGUAUGAAUAAGCAUCGGCUAACUCCGUGCCAGCAGCCGCGGUAAUACGGAGGAUGCAAGCGUUAUCCGGAAUCAUUGGGUUUAAAGGGUCCGUAGGCGGUUUAAUAAGUCAGUGGUGAAAGCCCAUCGCUCAACGAUGGAACGGCCAUUGAUACUGUUAAACUUGAAUUAUUAGGAAGUAACUAGAAUAUGUAGUGUAGCGGUGAAAUGCUUAGAGAUUACAUGGAAUACCAAUUGCGAAGGCAGGUUACUACUAAUAUAUUGACGCUGAUGGACGAAAGCGUGGGGAGCGAACAGGAUUAGAUACCCUGGUAGUCCACGCCGUAAACGAUGGAUACUAGCUGUUCGGAGCAAUCUGAGUGGCUAAGCGAAAGUGAUAAGUAUCCCACCUGGGGAGUACGUUCGCAAGAUGAAACUCAAAGGAAUUGACGGCNGAGAGAGACGACGACGACGACGAGGGAGGAGG